AUUAGUUUUUCUUAAUUAUCUAGUAGAAGUGUUUUUCUGUUGUUGUUGUUGAUAUAUCUAGCAGGGGCCUUCUAUAGUGAGUGGAAAGUUAUAAGGGGUGUUUUUGAGGGGUAUGUAAGAGCCGUUGGAUUUCAUCCAACGGUGAGUUUUUAAAAGAGGGUGCAUGUAGAAUCGGGUUGAAAUCUAACCCGUUAGAAACCCAACUUCUUCCCCUCUUUCCCUCUCUGUGAAAAACUGAAGAACACAAUCCUCUCUUUUUGAAUGUAAAGCAAACCCACAAUUAGAAGGAUCCAAAUCUCCCAAACCUUAUAGUCACUCGAUUGUCAUUAGCUCCUUGGGAGGCCUGCGAUCUAUGGUAUCCUCGGUAUUACAAAGAAUGGCUCUUACCUAGCUGUUGCCCUGUUUUGAUUCUAUGGGUCAAGUGAAAACCCCUUCUGUUUUUCAUUCAGUUGACAAGAUUCCAGAUGAAAGCAAAGUAGCAUAUCUCUUUUUGUAGCUAGACGCCGCAGCAGCAGUUGUUCCUCAAUUUUGGUAGAGAUGGAGUCUCAAAUACCAAAGAGUCUUCUGUAAUGUCCACUACAUUCUCUCAAGCUGACUGACUUCAGAGCUCCCGAUUGAUUUUGAGAGGUAAGUUCACUUGCUGGAUUGAUUUUAUUGGGUUUGGUUUAUUUUUUGUGAGGGUGGAAAAUUCGUCAUUUGUGGCAUCAAUAAUGCGUCAUAUUUGGAAUCAAUAAUGUGUCAUUUCCUUAUGAAUAUUCAAUAUACUUGGUUGAUUGUUUUUGGUGGGGGUGGAAAAUUAUGAAAUGUAGGUAAAAGAUCCUAAACUUAGGCUUAAUGACAUUAGGAGUAAGCAUUUGGAGAGGAUAUUGGAUGAAGUUCUGUAAUUGGUGGUUUGAAUUACAUUUGUGUUCUUAGUUGAACAUGUUGGUUCUAAUGUUAUUUUUUCCAGAUUAUUUCACAAGAGAUGACGUAACUAUUAUUAAAUUUUGCUUGCGUUUUGUGUAAUCGGAAGUUAGGCUAUGCGUAUUUUGUGUCAAUUUGGGCAAUGUUUUGUGUAAGUGGAAUGCAUUGAUAUGUUGUGAUGCAAUAAUGACUGAUUAAUGAAUUAAUAUUUGCUAUGCAGUAAUAUAGAAGUGGAUCAAUAAUAUACGUAGAUAAAAUGUCUAGGGGCUCAGAGAGUGAUGAAUGUGCAACAGCUAAUGGGAGGGUUUAUAUUCCUGAAGUAAGAAAUGAGGAAACACCAGCAGUUGGGAUGAAGUUCGACUCACUUGACCUCGUUUACAAUUUCUAUAAUAGAUAUGCAUUCUUGGCUGGCUUUGGUAUUCGACUUCAUUCCAGCUUUUGGGGGAAAAAUAAGAAAGAGAUUUUGAGGAAAGAAUUUGUAUGUUGCAAACAAGGUGCAUACAGGAGAGAUGAAACUCGGGAGAGAAAAAGACAACGGGGAAUAAGUAGAUGCAAUUGCAAAGCUAAGAUUGUGGUUGUGAAGACAAAUGGGAGCAAGAAGUAUACCAUCUCUCUUUUUGCAGAGGGACACAAUCAUAAGAUGACACCCUCAGAAAGAAUGCAUUUAUUGAGAUCACACCGUCAUAUUUCAGAUUCUACAAAAGUACUCACAAAAUAGUUGGGUUCAGUUAAUAUUCUCAUUCAUCACAAGGUAAGUAUUUUCGAGGUGCAAUCCGGAGGAAUGGAUAAAAUCGGUUUUAUCAAAAAAGAUAUCUACAAUCUUGAAUGUAGUGUGAAUGGGAAGUUGAGGAACCACGAUGUUGAACUAGUGACAGAGUAUUUUAUGGCUGAACAGAAAAAAAAUGAGGCUUUUUAUUUCAAGAUUGAGGGAGAUGGCCAUGACAGGUUUAGUCGAUGUUUUUGGGCAGAUGCAACUUCUAGACGGGCGUAUGGGUUUUAUGGAGAUGUUGUUGUAUUCGAUACCACAUUCAACACGAAUCGAUACGACUUGACAUUUGCACCCAUGUUGGGAGUUAAUAACCAUGGUCAGACAAUUGUCUUAGCAUGCGCAUUUUUGAGCAAGGAAACGACUGAGUCGUUUGUUUGGAUGUUUGAGGAGUUUAAGAAAGCCAUGCCAGAUGGCGAACCUAAAACGAUCAUUACAGAUCAAGAUGCGGUAAUGGCCAUAGCGAUUUCAAUAGCCUUCCCGACUACAUUUCAUCGACUUUGCAUAUGGCACAUCACAUCAAAGUUCUCUGUUAAGUUACCACAUUCUGCUUAUAAGGAGUAUUGGCGUGAAUUUCAGAAAGCCAUAUGGGAUACUGACAAUAAGGAUGAGUUUGAUGCAAAAUGGAAUAUUGUGGUUACAAAGGCUGGUUUGACUGACCAUCCAUGGCUAAGUUCAAUGUUUGAUUUAAGGAAAUCUUGGGUUUCAGCCUACGCACGACAAUUUUUUGCCGCUGGAAUGUCAAGCAGCCAAAGAGCAGAAGGUUCUCAUGGUUUUUUCAAGCAAUACAUAUCAAGGAGAAAUUCGUUGAUGGAUUUCAUAAUACGAUUUGAGAGGGCACUUUCUCAUCAACGUGAAAAAGAGUUAGUUGCUGAUCACGUAGAUGCAUUUGAAGUGGCUCAAUGUAUUCUACCGAUGCCAAUGAACAAACAAAUGGCUACCUUGUACACAAGGACAAUGUUUCAAAAGUUUGAGCAAGAACUAAUACAAAGUACAGCAUGUUUCCUAGAGCUCAAAACAGAGGAUACUUCUAAAGUUGUCUUUCAUGUGAGUGAAAGGAAAAAUUGGGAAACAAGAGUGGCAGAAGUCAUAUAUGUCAAAGAUUCUGACCACGCAUCGUGUAGCUGCAAAAGAUUUAAAUUUGUUGGAAUUAUUUGCAAGCACAUCCUAGCAUUGUUCAGAAGGGACCAGAUUGAAUAUAUGCCCGAUAAAUAUAUUUUGAAGAGGUGGAAGAAAACUGCGAAAUCUGGAUUGGUGUCAGAUGCAAAUGGCAACGAAAUUAAAGACUGUGCAGAUCCUGGUCUUUUAAUAAAGUGGUGUACAAUGUCUCGACUUGCUUCAGAUGUGGUUGAGGAUGCAUUAAUGAGUGAAGAAGGAUGUGAGCUACUGUCAGAGACUCUAAAAAGUUUGCAGGUGAAGUUGAAGUUGUUGAAGGAUGGACCAAGUAAUAACGAAGUUGGAGGGUCCAGCUCUCAAACACAAUAUAUGGAAGACCCUAAGAGAGUGAGGUGCAAAGGAAGGUCGAAAGGAGUAACGGGAGCAAAGGAAAACGCAAUGAAGCGAGGGAUUAGACACUGUCGAGAGUGUGGACACAUUGGUCAUGAUAGAAGACAAUGCCCAAGAAAUUUGAACACAUCGACAUCACCGUCGAACAAUGACGAAUCAACUCCAAUAGAACGUAGUGACCCAUUAUUCGACGAAUUUGACAGGAUGCACGGACCAACUGAAUGAUUUAUGUUUCUAUUAGACGAAAUCUGGUUGUUAUGAAGAUUAAUGAUCAGGCUAAUGCAGCAUUUGCAGCAGCCAGCUGUUGUUUCCAUUAACAGUAAUGAUUUCCAGCAGUACCCACUUUUUGGUUCUGGUUAUUAGGGGCACGAUUUUGUAAACAUUUGUAACUGAAGGAUACUUGAAGCACUAUGUUGGAACAUAGCGAAUAGAAAGCAGCGUGUAAAAAAGAAAAAGUACAUUGCAAUUUCGAACGGUUGGAGAAUAUUAAAAUUAAAGGGUACACUAACUUACAUAACUACUCUUAAUUCCACACACAAAAGAAAAAUUGAUUGCAAAACAUAUUAUGUGCUCCCUCUUAGCAAUACCACGAUCUCCCCAACCAACUGAACAACGGUAGCCACAAUCACUCGGUCGUAUUGGUCAGCUUCUUC